rnacentral:rRNA from 1 species
CGUUUGACGUUAGCUGCAGAAGAAGCACCGGCUAACUCCGUGCCAGCAGCCGCGGUAAUACGGAGGGUGCGAGCGUUAAUCGGAAUUACUGGGCGUAAAGCGCAUGCAGGUGGUUUGUUAAGUCAGAUGUGAAAGCCCGGGGCUCAACCUCGGAAUUGCAUUUGAAACUGGCAGACUAGAGUACUGUAGAGGGGGGUAGGAAUUUCAGGUGUAGCGGUGAAAUGCGUAGAGAUCUGAAGGAAUACCGGUGGCGAAGGCGGCCCCCUGGACAGAUACUGACACUCAGAUGCGAAAGCGUGGGGAGCAAACAGGAUUAGAUACCCUGGUAG